AGUUUUCUGUAUACAGGUCUCUUCUUUCUUUUCAUACAAUUAUUCCUAAGUAUUUUAUUCUUUUCAUUGCAAUGGUGAAUGGAUAGUUUCCUUAAUUACUCUUUCUGAUUUUUCAUUAUUAGUUUAUAGGAAUGCAAUGGCCUUCUGUGCAUUCACUUUUUAUGGCAGGCACACUUUUUUUAAUUUUUAAAUUUUUAAAUUUACUUAUGUUAGUUGGAGACUACUUAACAAUAUUGCAGGCACAUUCUUAACCACUGGACCACCAGGGAAUUCCUGGCCUGCUUGUCCUUGGGUGUGCAGCUCUCUGGGCUCUGACACAUGGAGAGUUUCCAGUCAGCUGGAGAGUGGUAAACAAAGUAUGCUGUAUGUAGCCAUACGGUGGAAUAGCAUAGAUGGAUGAAAAGUGAUGAACAUCUGCUUUCUGCUGCCACAUGGGUGAGCCUCCAAAGCAUUAUGCUAAGUGAAAGAACCCAGACACAAAAGGCCACUUCCUGCAGGAGUCGGUUGAUAUGAAAUGCCCAGAAAGGGCAAAUCUACAGAGAGGGAAAUCAGACGAGAGGAUGCCUGGGCCUGCAGGUCCUGUUGGGGAUCCACUGCUGAUGGGAAUACCUGUAGCCUGGUGUGAGGCCCCCUGCCUGAGCUCAGCAACCCAGGAGGGAUGGUCAGCAGAGCAGUAACCAAGACAACGGAACUUGAUCCAUCCUCCUUCUGCCACCAGGACUGAGGGGCAUUCCCUCCCCUCCAUCUGCCUGAUUGUCUGGGUAUGCUAUUUUCUGUUCUCCAAACCAAAGAGACCAGGAUGCCAGUUCCAAAAGAAUCAUCAGGACUGUUGACUAGAAGACAGAAUGGAGAAUUGGAAUGAUCUUCACAGGUGAUGCAGAGCCCUGCCUUGGAUCUCACCUGCAGCAAAACAGGCACCAAGAUCAGCUCCAGAAAAAGAAAUUCCUAAACGACAGCCAGCCAUCUGCCCAAAGACUCCGUUCGGUCAUUGCUCAGUGUGCCCCCUGUGAGUCCCAAGUGUGAAUGGGGAGGAAUCUUCCUUU